GAACGGAUCAAAAACAACCCUCUUUACAAUAUGUAAAGAAGACUCUUUUCUGGUGGACUCUUGGUGGCUGCAUGAAGGUGGCACUCAUCUAUUUACGAACAGCCAAGAACGGCAAAAUAUUACAAUUAAACCUGUUCAGGAAAAUAGCAGUCUUGAAUUAAUUAUGUUGACGUUUAAGAUCUCCUGAAUCUGAAUGAGUCUCUGGGAAUGCAAGUACUAGCUGCAACAGAUGGUUAAUUGUUUCGUGGGCAGAUGGGGCCUAAUGGGAUUCUCCAACUUGAAAAAAAUAUCAAAUGUCUAACUGGAAACAUUCUCCAAGUCACCUAUAUUGUCAUUCUGGACAUUUUGACCUUAAAUUU